UCAUGAAUCGGUCAGUGGUUGCGAAGUGAAAUCUGCAAUUUUCUUAAACUAUGAUUUUAGAGCAUUAGCAAUUUAUUGAAAACACUACAUUGUAAAUAUAAGAUCUCCAGAUGAUCCGGUGAUUCUGUGAGAUUAUGUUAAACAUCGCGUAGUUUUAAGAAAACAAGAGUAUUAAAUUGGGUACAAGAAUUACAGUAAUUUAUGGCAAUCAGGAUGAAGCGAACAGAUGGAUAUAUAUAAAGCUUAACAAUAAUUUUUGAUGCAUAAUCAAUUCCAUUGUGAUGGAUCCAGAUCCCGAGGCCAGUCAUUCAGAAGAUGCUACUUCAAUCACAGAUGUUCCUGACAUUUGUUCAGUGGAAGAGUAUAAUGACAUUGAGGUCAGCUUUGAUCUGUCAUCUUUCGCCUGAAUUUCGCAGCCCAUCAGCUGCCGAGCGGAAAAGUCGCUGUACAGGGGUCGUUCGUUCUGGGUUCCAUUCCAGGUGAAUGGACUGGCUACAUGGGUGUUUCCCUGGUUUUCCGCAUAUGUAACGUGGAUACGAAGCAAUUUACUUUGAAAAGUCCUCCGCGAUGGCAUCUGUUCCUUUAGGCAGAUGCUCCCUAAUGUGAUUUGACAUGAUCAAAUUAGUCAAACCGUAUUCCAGUUUUAUGUUAUCCGUGUUUCAUUAACUGCUCAUUAUGUAAAUAAGUUCAUUAAUUGGCUGAGUAAAAUACAC